CUACGGGCGGCACCAGUCGAGAGGCUUCGUCAAUGGGGGCAACCCUGAACGAGCGACGCCGCGUGAGCGAUGAAGGUCGUAAGAUCGUAAAGCUCUGUUAGUGGGGAAGAAACCCCGGGGUGCUAAUACCACCACGGCUUGACGUUACCCACAAAGAAAGCUCCGGCUAACUCCGUGCCAGCAGCCGCGGUAACACGGGGGGAGCAAACGUUGUUCGGAAUCACUGGGCGUAAAGGGCGCGUAGGCGGCCUGGUCAGUGAAACGUGAAAGCCCCUGGCUCAACCAGGGAAUGUCGUUUCAUACUGCCAGGCUUGAGGACGGGAGAGGAGAGGGGAAUUCCCGGUGUAGCGGUGAAAUGCACUGAUAUCGGGAGGAACACCAGUGGCGAAGGCGCCUCUCUGGCCCGUUCCUGACGCUCAGGCGCGAAAGCAGGGGGAGCAAACAGGAUUAGAUACCCCCGUAGUC
rnacentral:rRNA from 1 species